rnacentral:rRNA from 1 species
CCACCUUUGACAUGUAUGGAAUCCUUUAGAGAUAGAGGAGUGCUCGAAAGAGAGCCAUAACACAGGUGCUGCAUGGCUGUCGUCAGCUCGUGUCGUGAGAUGUUGGGUUAAGUCCCGCAACGAGCGCAACCCUCGUUCUAUGUUGCCAGCACGUAAUGGUGGGAACUCAUGGGAGACUGCCGGGGUCAACUCGGAGGAAGGUGGGGAUGACGUCAAAUCAUCAUGCCCCUUAUGUCUUGGGCUUCACGCAUGCUACAAUGGCCGGUACAAAGGGCUGCAAUACCGUAAGGUGGAGCGAAUCCCAAAAAGCCGGUCUCAGUUCGGAUUGAGGUCUGCAACUCGACCUCAUGAAGUUGGAGUCGCUAGUAAUCGCAGAUCAGCAACGCUGCGGUGAAUACGUUCUC